rnacentral:lncRNA from 1 species
AUCCUUCGAAAGUACUAUAAGUUUAAGUUAUUGUUAUUUAUGUUUAAGUAAUAAAAAUUUACUUAAACAUAAAUUAGAAAAAAAUUAUAAAUGUUGAUUUUAGAUUGAGUUUUAUAUUCCAAUAAUAUUGCAACUUCAAAUUUUUUUUCAAAAAUCUUUAUUUCAAACUUAUAUUUUAAAAGAUAUCUCAAUAGGAUGCUUGCAUUGUAAAACAGAAAAUAUAAGAAAUUAGUAAAUUAUGAAGAAUAUUCUUUUGUUUUGUGAAAAAUAUAGACCACUAAAUGGAUUUUUUUGACGGUUGUACCUCUUUUAGUGAGGUUUCAUAUCUUAUUUAAAUUCUUCUAUCCAUAUUUAAAUGCGAUUUUUGUUUGGAACUAAAAUAAUAGUUUUGAAAAAAAGUAAAACAAAAAGUGUAAAAGGCAAAACAAAAAAUCUGAUUUUCAAAAUAAAUAAUUUUAGAAAUUAUUUUAAAAAAUUAGCAAGCAAAUAUGAUCAACUCUAUCAUAGUGUAAAUCAGCUGAUUAAAUAAGAUAAGCUGAUCUUUGGUGUUAAUACUCACAAAGUUUUAAGGGAAUGUCUUCUGGCGUUGUAACCCAUUUAGUUCCAAGAUUGUGUUUAAGCAUUUGCCUAAUAUGUCCUGAGACAUACAAACAUAAGCAAGUCAGAAUUUAUUUAUCUUCUUUGUAAAAAUACUUUUUUCGAAGCACAUAAAUUUUAUCAAUCUAGGAUGUGGUAUAAUACUGAUGUUAUUCUAAGAAUAAUUUUAAAUGGAAGUAUUAAAAAUUUAUAAGACCAUGAAAAAUUUUUUUUUUGGUGUUUGAUAAGAUGAAAAUCAAGAGUUUUCUUGUAUUCAAUACAACCAAAAAGGUUGAUCUAAUUGAAAUGGGAUUUUUAAAUGGCACUUUUGAUGAGUUUAAAAAUAUAAUUAAAAGUUUGGCAAAAUAUGUCAUUGUUUAUAAGAGGGAAGUUUUCAUACUUUUGAUAUGCAUUUGGACUUUUUUCUUCUAGUAACUUUUAAAAGAUUCUAAAGUACUACUAACAUAUUUUUAAAAAAAAACAUUUUAUGGCAGCAGAUAAUGUUUAUACAAGUUUUUAAUUCUUUAUAGAAUUAUAAGGACUUUUUUAUCUUUAUAAAUUUUGUUGUUGUUUAAUAACAAAAUUUUGGAACAUUUUGAAACUCUCAUAUUGGAACCAAAAUUCUCAAAAUCUAGUAGUAAGUUUUAUGAUUACAAUAAUGAUGAUGAUCUGGCAAUGAUUGUCUUUAUUAUGAGGAUGGUGGUGAUGACAAUCAUGAUGACCAUCUUGUUUUUUUUUUUAUUUUAAAUAAAAUGAUUUUAUGAAUCUUAAAAUUUUAAUUCAUUAAAACAUUUUUUAGGUUAAAAGUUAAACCACGUGAUGUGAUGACAUGGUUACAUUAAAUGUAUAUGAUUAGGAUCUUAGCAUGUUUUAUGAUGAUAUUAGUCUUAAACUCAGAGAAGGACGUAUUCAAUAUAUUCACAGUCAAAAUUGAUUCUAAAUUUGCAGAAGGAAGGGUUUGAAUAUUGUUGGUGAUCGACUUAUUUAUGGAAAUUAUCAUGGAAGAAUGUAGAAAA